rnacentral:rRNA from 1 species
UUCCGGUUGAUCCUGCCGGACCUGACUGCUAUCGGAUUGAUACUAAGCCAUGCGAGUCAUUGUAGUAAUACAAGGCAGACGGCUCAGUAACGCGUAGUCAACCUACCCUAUGGACGGGAAUAACCUCGGGAAACUGAGUAUAAUGCCCGAUAGAACAUUAUACCUGGAAUGGUUUAUGUUCCAAAUGAUUUAUCGCCGUAGGAUGGGACUGCGGCCUAUCAGUUUGUUGGUGAGGUAAUGGCCCACCAAGACUAUUACAGGUACGGGCUCUGAGAGGAGUGGCCCGGAGAUGGGUACUGAGACACGGACCCAGGCCCUAUGGGGCGCAGCAGGCGAGAAAACUUUGCAAUGUGCGAAAGCACGACAAGGUUAAUCCGAGUGGUUUCUGCUAAAGGAACCUUUUGUUAGUCCUAGAAACACUAACGAAUAAGGGGUGGGCAAGUUCUGGUGUCAGCCGCCGCGGUAAAACCAGCACCUCAAGUGGUCAGGAUGAUUAUUGGGCCUAAAGCAUCCGUAGCCGGCUCUAUAAGUUUUCGGUUAAAUCUGUACGCUUAACGUACAGGCUGCCGGGAAUACUGCAGAGCUAGGGAGUGGGAGAGGUAGACGGUACUCGGGAGGAAGUGGUAAAAUGCUUUGAUCUCUCGAUGACCACCUGUGGCGAAGGCGGUCUACCAGAACACGUCCGACGGUGAGGGAUGAAAGCUGGGGGGAGCAAACCGGAUUAGAUACCCGGGUAGUCCCAGCUGUAAACUAUGCAAACUCAGUGAUGCAUUGGCUUGUGGCCAAUGCAGUGUUGCAGGGAAGCCGUUAAGUUUGC